ACGGGAGGCAGCAGUGGGGAAUAUUGCACAAUGGGGGAAACCCUGAUGCAGCGACGCCGCGUGAGUGAAGAAGUUAUUCGUAAUGUAAAGCUCUAUCAGCAGGGAAGAAAAAAGACGGUACCUGACUAAGAAGCACCGGCUAAAUACGUGCCAGCAGCCGCGGUAAUACGUAUGGUGCAAGCGUUAUCCGGAUUUACUGGGUGUAAAGGGAGCGCAGACGGCUGUGCAAGUCUGAAGUGAAAUGCGGGGGCUCAACCCCUGAACUGCUUUGGAAACUGUAUAGCUUGAGUACAGGAGAGGUAAGUGGAAUUCCUAGUGUAGCGGUGAAAUGCGUAGAUAUUAGGAGGAACACCAGUGGCGAAGGCGGCUUACUGGACUGUAACUGACGUUGAGGCUCGAAAGCGUGGGGAGCAAACAGGAUUAGAUACCCUGGUA
rnacentral:rRNA from 2 species